rnacentral:rRNA from 1 species
GAUGAACGCUGACAGAAUGCUUAACACAUGCAAGUCUUUGGCGAAGCUGUGCUUGCACAGCCUAGCCAAGGCGGACGGGUGAGUAACGCGUAAGGAACUUGCCCUGCAGUCAGGGAUAACAGACGGAAACGACUGAUAAGACCUGGUAAAGUCAGGCGGACUCAUGUCCAGCCUGAUGAAAAGAGAUGCUGCAGGAGAGCCUUGCGUCCUAUUAGCUUGUUGGUGGGGUAACGGCCCACCAAGGCGAUGAUAGGUAGCCGGCCUGAGAGGGUGGACGGCCACAAGGGGACUGAGAUACGGCCCUUACUCAUACGGGAGGCAGCAGUGGGGAAUAUUGGACAAUGGGGGCAACCCUGAUCCAGCAAUUCUGUGUGCACGAUGAAGGUUUUCGGAUUGUAAAGUGCUUUCAGCAGGGAAGAAAAAAAUGACGGUACCUGCAGAAGAAGCGACGGCUAAAUACGUG